CUGCGAAUGGCUCAUUAAAUCAGUUAUCGUUUAUUUGAUAGUACCUUACUACUUGGAUAACCGUGGUAAUUCUAGAGCUAAUACAUGCUAAAAAUCCCGACUUCUGGAAGGGAUGUAUUUAUUAGAUAAAAAACCAAUGCCCUCGGGCUUCUUGGUGAUUCAUGAUAACUUUACGAAUCGCAUGGCCUUGUGCCGGGCGAUGGUUCAUUCAAAUUUCUGCCCUAUCAACUUUCGAUGGUAGGAUAGUGGCCUACCAUGGUUUCAACGGGUAACGGGGAAUUAGGGUUCGAUUCCGGAGAGGGAGCCUGAGAAACGGCUACCACAUCCAAGGAAGGCAGCAGGCGCGCAAAUUACCCAAUCCCGACACGGGGAGGUAGUGACAAUAAAUACUGAUACAGGGCCCUUUCGGGUCUUGUAAUUGGAAUGAGUACAAUUUAAACCCUUUAACGAGGAACAAUUGGAGGGCAAGUCUGGUGCCAGCAGCCGCGGUAAUUCCAGCUCCAAUAGCGUAUAUUAAAGUUGUUGCAGUUAAAAAGCUCGUAGUUGAACUUUGGGUCUGGGUAACUGGUCUGCGUCUACCGCACGUACUGGAAACCCGGAUCUUUCCUUCUGGAGAACCGCAUGCACUUUACUGGGUGUGCCGGGAAACCAGGACUUUUACUUUGAAAAAAUUAGAGUGUUCAAAGCAGGCAUUUGCUCGAAUACAUUAGCAUGGAAUAAUAAAAUAGGACGUGCGGUUCUAUUUUGUUGGUUUCUAGGACCGCCGUAAUGAUUAAUAGGGAUAGUCGGGGGCAUCCGUAUUCGAUUGUCAGAGGUGAAAUUCUUGGAUUUUUCGAAGACGAACUACUGCGAAAGCAUUUGCCAAGGAUGUUUUCAUUAAUCAGGAACGAAAGUUGAGGGAUCGAAGACGAUCAGAUACCGUCGUAGUCUCAACCAUAAACUAUGCCGACUAGGGAUUGGGCGACUGUGUUAUUUGAGUUGCUCA
rnacentral:rRNA from 1 species